rnacentral:siRNA from 1 species
GGCCGACGUCAGAGUUCACGUA